AGAGUUUGAUCAUGGCUCAGAACAAACGCUGGCGGCGUGCAUAACACAUGCAAGUCUAACGGGAAUGUCGGCUUCGGCUGACUAGUACCGUGGCGAACGGGUGAGUAACACGUGGGUGAUCUAACCUCGAGUUUGGGAUAACCUUGCGAAAGCGGGGCUAAUACCGAAUAAGACCACGCUCUGCUCGCAGAGUGCGGUAAAAGGCGGCCUCUUCUUGAAAGCUGUCACUUGAGGAUGAGCCCGCGGCCUAUUAGCUAGUUGGUGGGGUAAUGGCCUACCAAGGCAACGAUGGGUAGCCGGCCUGAGAGGGUGUACGGCCACACUGGCACUGAGAUACGGGCCAGACUCCUACGGGAGGCAGCAGUGGGGAAUUUUGCGCAAUGGGGGAAACCCUGACGCAGCAACGCCGCGUGAGUGAUGAAGGCCUUCGGGUCGUAAAGCUCUUUUAGUGGGGAAGAAUCCCACCCGGGUUAAUACCUCGGGUGUCUGACGGUACCCACAGAAAAAGUUCCGGCUAACUACGUGCCAGCAGCCGCGGUAAUACGUAGGGAGCAAGCGUUGUUCGGAAUUAUUGGGCGUAAAGAGCGCGUAGGCGGUUCGGUAAGUCUGACGUGAAAUCCCGGAGCUUAACUCCGGAACUGCGU
rnacentral:rRNA from 1 species